rnacentral:rRNA from 1 species
GGCUCGCGGCCUAUGGUUUAGUUUGCGGAGUAUUGCCCACCAAUGAUAUAAUGGGUAACCAAUGCGAGAGGACGUCCCCGCCCUGAGAGGGUGACCGGCCUCCAGACACUGAGACGCGGCCCCAGUUCCUAAUUUUUCCAGCAGUGGAAAAUAUUAUGGAAUGACGAAAGCCUGGGAUGAAGGGCUUGCGUGAGGGAACCGGCCUUCGGGUGAUCACCUCUUUCAUCUAAAUAGAACAUUAAGUGACGGUACCUAGGAGGAAGCACCGGCUAACUACGUGCCAGCAGCCGCGUAAUACGUAGGGUGCAAGCGUUGUCCGGAUUUAUUGGGCGUAAAGAGUUCGUAGGCGGUUUGUCAAGUUUGCUGUGAAAUUUCGGGGCUCAACCCGGGACAUGCAGUGGAAACGGGCAGACUAGAGGGUGGUAGGGGAGACUGGAAUUCCUGGUGUAGCGGUGAAAUGCGCAGAUAUCGAGGAGGAACACCAAUGGCGAAGGC